GCUAGGGUAUGCUACAUUUAAGCAGUUGGGCUCAUGCCCCAAAAACGGUGAUACACCCCCUAACACUUGCU
rnacentral:tRNA from 1 species